UUGACCCAGGUACUAAUCAGGUGGAACCAGACGAUCUUCCACGGCACACCAGUUGGGAAACACUGGUCUACUAUGCAACUCCACAUUUGAAAAUGGACUCCAGGUCUCUCCUCUUAGACGCGCUGUCUCUAUCCAAGAAUGAGUGUUUCUGUUUGGGUGUCAAGCUGGUGAGAGGAGCCUACAUGGACAAAGAGAGAAAACUAGCGAUGAAAGAGGGUCACCAGGACCCCAUCCAUCAGAGCUGGGAGGACACCAAUGACAGGCUGUUAUAACGGAUGCCUUGAUGUGAUGCUGGAUGUCAUGUUGCAGGAACCUGAGCGGUACAGGUUCAUAGUUGCCACUCACAACGAGGAGUCAGUGAGAUGAGCUGUGACACGCUGAGACAGCAACGUAAUCGAGGUGGUAUUUGAUGUACAGAAAAUCAAAAGAUUGCUUUCAUAUACUUUAAUGUAUGAAAUGCUUAUCAAAUUUCACAAAAAAGGAAAACAUGAUGCUCAGAAUUUUCUGUAACCUACAGGUGAGGAUUUAUAAAACUAGACUUAAGCAACAGAUCCAAACUUCUCUACAGACUAAGCUGCUUUUGCAAGAUUUUUGUUUAAAGCAUAAUCGAAAUGCUUUUUUCCGGUUUUUAUAUAAUAAAUAUAAUUACACACACACACACACACACACACACACACACACACACACACACAGUCCUCUUUAUAGAGCCUCUGUAGCUUUAGUUAGCAGACAGACUGCAUGUCUUUUCGUGUGAAUUAAAGUAUUGUACUUGUCCAAAAUGCAAUGACUUGUAUGUAGGCAACAAAAGAUGUACCACUUUUUAAUUCACCCUCAAUCCACUGAUAAGCAUCUUAAAGCAGGUGGACUGAGACUGAUUUUAAUGAUAUGCUUUUAGUUUUCCAUACAUGUACUGAAUUUAUAUUAUCACUGCAAAAAAAACCCAAACAAAACACAACACUGUUUAAUAUUUAUUUAUUAAUCUGUUAAAAUAAUAAAACUCCAGAUUUAUUCCAAGAAAUUGACAGAAAUGUAAUAUCACAUUCUGCCGUUGCUGACACAAAGCAAUGCUAACUGACAUAGAAACAGCAGCAAAACAGUUUCAUUGAGGGAGCACGGCCAAGAGCCAAACUCACAAAAUGAGGUACUGAUGUUGUCUUGGAAUGAAGACCAGCUCUACUGGAAAAACUGAAAUCCACAAACUUCAAGCUCAGUAAUUUCCUUGAUUUUGAUUCCUGUAACCGCCUCUCUGGUAACCCGACUGCUUCUGCUGGUAAGAUUUCCCGUCUGCGGUUGUACAAAGACAACAAUCAUCUCAUUAGUGUUCACACAAAUUCACUAAACUACAAGAAAAGAAGAAAAAAACAAACCACAAAGGUGUAAUACUGAUGGAUGAAUUUAAAAUAGCAUCUACUGCUGAAAAGAGAACCCAACCCACAUCUACCUCAUUGACAUAAAACAGGAAACGACCUCAGUGAAAUUUAACAUACCUCUCUGGUAGGAUUGCUUCUGUUGGUAGCCACCUUUCUGAUCUGUAUGACAAAUGAAAGCUAAUUAUCAUCUAAUAG